rnacentral:sRNA from 1 species
GCUGAGCGUGAUGGCUCAUGCGUGUAAUCCCAGCACUUUGGAGGCUGAGGCAUGAGGAUUGCUUGAGCCCAGGUGUUUGAGACAAGCCUAGGAAGCACAGUGAGACCCCAUCUCUACAAAAAAAUUAAAAUUAGCUGGGCAUGGUGGCACAUGCCUGUAGUCCCAGCUACUCAAGAGGCUGAGGCAGAAGGAUCACUUGAGCCUCAGGAGUUUGAGGCUACGGUGAGCCAUGAUCACACCACUGCCCUCCAGCCUGGGCAACAGAGCAAGACCCUGUCUCU